rnacentral:rRNA from 1 species
GAUGAACGCUGGCGGCGUGCCUAAUACAUGCAAGUCGAGCGAACAGACGAGGAGCUUGCUCCUCUGACGUUAGCGGCGGACGGGUGAGUAACACGUGGAUAACCUACCUAUAAGACUGGGAUAACUUCGGGAAACCGGAGCUAAUACCGGAUAACAUGUUGAACCGCAUGGUUUAACAGUGAAAGACGGUCUUGCUGUCACUUAUAGAUGGAUCCGCGCCGCAUUAGCUGGUUGGUAAGGUAACGGCUUACCAAGGCAACGAUGCGUAGCCGACCUGAGAGGGUGAUCGGCCACCCUGGAACUGAGACACGGUCCAGACUCCUACGGGAGGCAGCAGUAGGGAAUCUUCCGCAAUGGGCGAAAGCCUGACGGAGCAACGCCGCGUGAGUGAAGAAGGUCUUCGGAUCGUAAAACUCUGUUAUUAGGGAAGAACAAAUGUGUAAGUAACUAUGCACGUCUUGACGGUACCUAAUCAGAAAGCCACGGCUAACUACGUG